GCACCCGUAGCUCAGCUGGAUAGAGAGCUGCCCUCCGAAGGCAGAGGUCAGAGGUUCGAAUCCUCUCGUGUGCGCCA
rnacentral:tRNA from 1 species